CUGACGGAGCACGCCGCGUGAGGUGAUGAAGGUUUUCGGAUCGUAAAGCUCUGUUGUUAGGGAAGAACAAGUGCGAGAGUAACUGCUCGCACCUUGACGGUACCUAACCCAGAAAGCCACGGCUAACUACGUGCCAGCAGCCGCGGUAAUACGUAGGUGGCAAGCGUUGUCCGGAAUUAUUGGGCGUAAAGGGCUCGCAGGCGGUUUCUUAAGUCUGAUGUGAAAGCCCCCGGCUCAACCGGGGAGGGUCAUUGGAAACUGGGAAACUUGAGUGCAGAAGAGGAGAGUGGAAUUCCACGUGUAGCGGUGAAAUGCGUAGAGAUGUGGAGGAACACCAGUGGCGAAGGCGACUCUCUGGUCUGUAACUGACGCUGAGGAGCGAAAGCGUGGGGAGCGAACAGGAUUAGAUACCCUGGUAGUCCACGCCGUAAACGAUGAGUGCUAAGUGUUAGGGGGUUUCCGCCCCUUAGUGCUGCAGCUAACGCAUUAAGCACUCCGCCUGGGGAGUACGGUCGCAAGACUGAAACUCAAAGGAAUUGACGGGGGCCCGCACAAGCGGUGGAGCAUGUGGUUUAAUUCGAAGCAACGCGAAGAACCUUACCAGGUCUUGACAUCCUCUGACAACCCUAGAGAUAGGGCUUUCCCUUCGGGGACAGAGUGACAGGUGGUGCAUGGUUGUCGUCAGCUCGUGUCGUGAGAUGUUGGGUUAAGUCCCGCAACGAGCGCAACCCUUGAUCUUAGUUGCCAGCAUUUAGUUGGGCACUCUAAGGUGACUGCCGGUGACAAACCGGAGGAAGGUGGGGAUGACGUCAAAUCAUCAUGCCCCUUAUGACCUGGGCUACACACGUGCUACAAUGGACAGAACAAAGGGCUGCAAGACCGCAAGGUUUAGCCAAUCCCAUAAAUCUGUUCUCAGUUCGGAUCGCAGUCUGCAACUCGACUGCGUGAAGCUGGAAUCGCUAGUAAUCGCGGAUCAGCAUGCCGCGGUGAAUACGUUCCC
rnacentral:rRNA from 1 species